rnacentral:rRNA from 1 species
AAUCUCAACUUUAUUAGAAGAGACGCAUUUAUUAGAUAAAAAGCCAAUGCAUGCUUUUACAGUAUGGAAAUUGGUGAUUUAUAAUAACUUGGCAAAUCGCAAAGUGAAAACAGGCGAUAAAUCAUUCAAGUUUCUGACCUAUCAGCUUUCGACGGUAUGGUAUUGGCUUACCGUGGCAGUGACGGUUAACGGGGGAUUAGGGUUCGAUUCCGGAGAGGGAGCCUGAGAAACGGCUACCACAUCUAAGGAAGGCAGCAGGCGCGCAAAUUACCCAAUUCUAACAGUUUGAGAGAGGUAGUAACAAGAAAUAACAAUACAAGGCAAUUAAAAUGCUUUGUAAUUGGAAUGAUAGAAAUUUAAACCCUUUUUAAAGUAUCAAUUGGAGGGCAAGUCUGGUGCCAGCAGCCGCGGUAAUUCCAGCUCCAAUAGCGUAUAUUAAAAUUGUUGCAGUUAAAAAGCUCGUAGUUGAAGUUCUGCUAAAAGUAACCGGUCUGCUUUUAAUAAAAGUGGUAUCUUGGUGUGUAUUUAGCAAUGAUGUCCUUUGAAGUGUUUUAUUACUUUAUUGUAAUAAAGCAUAUUCAGGAAAUUUUACUUUGAGAAAAUUAGAGUGUUUCUAGCAGGCCGACGCUUUGAAUACUGCAGCA